AGUAAACUUUUAUAGAGCUUGAGACAUUAUAUUUGUUUGGGUCUAUUUCUUAAGUGCUUAGCCAGCUCUAACAAAUACAUUCGAGCAGUGACCUAGUACUUGAAGUCGUGGGUCUUUUGGCCUAAUGCAUUCAUUCAUUUUUUUUUGUCUCUGGCAGUUGGUGAUUGAUCGAUCGUGGUCCAGCAUGCAGAAGUGAGUGUGUGGUGAAAAGCAGCAGAGCUGAUGAGUUGUGAAGACGUGUGUUUGAAGGCUGCCACACUCCCUACUCCAGGGAUCAGGAAUUAACUUGCAACAACCCUCGAUGAAGAUUCUGUAGCAAUGGUAAAGACAUCUGCUCCCCCCAGGAUGUAAAGAGAUCCUGAGAGAUUCUGAAAGAUGGCUGAGAGCCUAAAAUUAAAAUCCUGGAUCCUUGAGUCAUGUCCUGCCGUAGGCCACUCCCUGUUGUGCUCAGCUAUUGUUCUGUCAGAGACUUCCAUGAACACUAGGAGUUGAAAAGAAAAAGAAAAAAAAUGAAAGAAAACAGGAAAAAGAAGCAAAGGCAGCAGCUGUGAUGUAUGACCUGCCCAUGGAGAGACUCAUGUGACAAAGACCUGAGGGAGGGUCCUGAUCAACAGACAGACAGGAGUGAGGCCCCCCAGUCCAAAAGCUCAUGGAGUCCUGCUGA